UAUAUCUAUAAAUCUAUAACGGGGAGACGCCAUCAUUCAAACGCCACCAUCCGCAUGUCGUUUCGAGUACAAAGCUUCAGAACUCUAAUGACGAGCUCGAGAUUAUGAAGCCCAUGAUUCGUCAAGAAUUUGUUGCCCACUUAAGAAGGUAUUUACAAUGGCAAAAGGGAAGCUUAUACUAAUCUGUCAAGCCAGAGAGAGUUGCAUUUGUGACAAAUGAUGAUGGAACAAGGGAAGCCAAUGCAUCAAAUUUCACUUCUGAGUUCUGAGACGCUAUUAACCUUACCCUCUUCGGCUUUGGUUUCGUUUUACUGUCGAUAGUUUAUUUCUAUAGCACAUUGAUCUUUAACUUUAUGUAAAGACAGAAAAUAAACGGUCAAGUUAGUGUAGUUAUGUGAGGAUCUAUUGUUUGCACGAAUAAGAAAUUGUUGAGAAGUUGAAUUUCUGGCAUUAAU